rnacentral:siRNA from 1 species
AGAAAUGCAGGCGGCCUGACUACCC